UUGCACGCUGGCGGCAUGCUUUACACAUGCAAGUCGCACGGCAGCACGGGCUUCGGCCUGGUGGCGAGUGGCGAACGGGUGAGUAAUAUAUCGGAACGUACCCAGAAGUGGGGGAUAACGUAGCGAAAGUUACGCUAAUACCGCAUACGAUCUAUGGAUGAAAGCAGGGGACCGCAAGGCCUUGUGCUCCUGGAGCGGCCGAUAUCUGAUUAGCUAGUUGGUGAGGUAAAGGCUCACCAAGGCGACGAUCAGUAGCUGGUCUGAGAGGACGACCAGCCACACUGGAACUGAGACACGGUCCAGACUCCUACGGGAGGCAGCAGUGGGGAAUUUUGGACAAUGGGCGCAAGCCUGAUCCAGCAAUGCCGCGUGAGUGAAGAAGGCCUUCGGGUUGUAAAGCUCUUUUGUCAGGGAAGAAACGGUAGAGGCUAAUAUCCUUUGCUAAUGACGGUACCUGAAGAAUAAGCACCGGCUAACUACGUG
rnacentral:rRNA from 1 species